UGCAAGUCGAACGAUGAUGCCCAGCUUGCUGGGUGGAUUAGUGGCGAACGGGUGAGUAACACGUGAGUAACCUGCCCCUGACUCUGGGAUAAGCGUUGGAAACGACGUCUAAUACUGGAUAUGAUCACUGGCCGCAUGGUCUGGUGGUGGAAAGAUUUUUUGGUUGGGGAUGGACUCGCGGCCUAUCAGCUUGUUGGUGAGGUAAUGGCUCACCAAGGCGACGACGGGUAGCCGGCCUGAGAGGGUGACCGGCCACACUGGGACUGAGACACGGCCCAGACUCCUACGGGAGGCAGCAGUGGGGAAUAUUGCACAAUGGGCGAAAGCCUGAUGCAGCAACGCCGCGUGAGGGAUGACGGCCUUCGGGUUGUAAACCUCUUUUAGUAGGGAAGAAGCGAAAGUGACGGUACCUGCAGAAAAAGCACCGGCUAACUACGUGCCAGCAGCCGCGGUAAUACGUAGGGUGCAAGCGUUGUCCGGAAUUAUUGGGCGUAAAGAGCUCGUAGGCGGUUUGUCGCGUCUGCUGUGAAAUCCCGAGGCUCAACCUCGGGCUUGCAGUGGGUACGGGCAGACUAGAGUGCGGUAGGGGAGAUUGGAAUUCCUGGUGUAGCGGUGGAAUGCGCAGAUAUCAGGAGGAACACCGAUGGCGAAGGCAGAUCUCUGGGCCGUAACUGACGCUGAGGAGCGAAAGCAUGGGGAGCGAACAGGAUUAGAUACCCUGGUAGUCCAUGCCGUAAACGUUGGGCGCUAGAUGUAGGGACCUUUCCACGGUUUCUGUGUCGUAGCUAACGCAUUAAGCGCCCCGCCUGGGGAGUACGGCCGCAAGGCUAAAACUCAAAGGAAUUGACGGGGGCCCGCACAAGCGGCGGAGCAUGCGGAUUAAUUCGAUGCAACGCGAAGAACCUUACCAAGGCUUGACAUACACCGGAAACGGCCAGAGAUGGUCGCCCCCUUGUGGUCGGUGUACAGGUGGUGCAUGGUUGUCGUCAGCUCGUGUCGUGAGAUGUUGGGUUAAGUCCCGCAACGAGCGCAACCCUCGUUCUAUGUUGCCAGCGGGUUAUGCCGGGGACUCAUAGGAGACUGCCGGGGUCAACUCGGAGGAAGGUGGGGAUGACGUCAAAUCAUCAUGCCCCUUAUGUCUUGGGCUUCACGCAUGCUACAAUGGCCGGUACAAAGGGCUGCGAUACCGUAAGGUGGAGCGAAUCCCAAAAAGCCGGUCUCAGUUCGGAUUGAGGUCUGCAACUCGACCUCAUGAAGUCGGAGUCGCUAGUAAUCGCAGAUCAGCAACGCUGCGGUGAAUACGUUCCCGGGCCUUGUACACACCGCCCGUCAAGUCAUGAAAGUCGGUAACACCCGAAGCCGGUGGCCUAACCCUUGUGGAAGGAGCCGUCGAA
rnacentral:rRNA from 1 species